UUGUCCUCUGGCUGUGCCAGUGUCUUUAAAAAGAAAUGUCCAUAUGGAGGGUGGACAUCUUCAGAGCAUAGAGGAAAAGCCAAGUAGGCAUUUAGACAUGUCCCAUGUAGACUCAAGUGCCCACUUGCAAUGUGGAGUAGCCAGGAGCUAUGCAGAAGCAAAGGAGGGAAGCCCCAUUCUUCAUGUUCUUCGCAGUUGCAAAGGAUUAUAAAUAACUUCCUUAUCGCCCCUGGCUGGUGGAAAGGCUGGAAGAAUGGACUUCCCUCAAAACAUCCAUACACAACAAAGCAAUGUCUCAGUGUCACAUAUCAGAGUCUGUGGCCCCAUGAUGCCCAGAUGAGUGAUGGAAAAAAAAACCAACAAAAACUGAAGUCCAAGGAAAUUAGCUGUUUUGUGAUAUGGAGCCUCCUAACUGUGCAUAGCUGCAUCCAGAGGUCUCGUGCCUGGCCUCCCCUCCCCUUUCCUCCCCUCCCUUCUCUUCCCCUUCCUUCUUCCCUUCCCCGCUUCCCUCUCCUCCUUAUCCCUCUCUUCUCCUCUCCUCUCCU